GGGGAAUAUUGCACAAUGGGCGAAAGCCUGAUGCAGCGACGCCGCGUGAGGGAAGAAGGUUUUCGGAUUGUAAACCUCUGUCUUCGGGGACGAUAAUGACGGUACCCGAGGAGGAAGCCACGGCUAACUACGUGCCAGCAGCCGCGGUAAAACGUAGGUGGCAAGCGUUGUCCGGAAUUACUGGGUGUAAAGGGAGCGCAGGCGGAAUGGCAAGUUGAAUGUGAAAACUAUGGGCUCAACCCAUAGAUUGCGUUCAAAACUGCUGUUCUUGAGUGAUGUAGAGGUAGGCGGAAUUCCCGGUGUAGCGGUGGAAUGCGUAGAUAUCGGGAGGAACACCAGUGGCGAAGGCGGCCUACUGGGCAUCAACUGACGCUGAGGCUCGAAAGUGCGGGUAUCGAAC
rnacentral:rRNA from 1 species